AACGAACGCUGGCGGCAUGCCUAACACAUGCAAGUCGAACGGACCCUUCGGGGUUAGUGGCGCACGGGUGCGUAACGCGUGGGAAUCUGCCCUUGGGUACGGAAUAACCCACCGAAAGGUGUGCUAAUACCGUAUGAUGUCUUCGGACCAAAGAUUUAUCGCCCAGGGAUGAGCCCGCGUAGGAUUAGCUAGUUGGUGAGGUAAAGGCUCACCAAGGCGACGAUCCUUAGCUGGUCUGAGAGGAUGAUCAGCCACACUGGGACUGAGACACGGCCCAGGCUCCUACGGGAGGCAGCAGUGGGGAAUAUUGGACAAUGGGCGCAAGCCUGAUCCAGCAAUGCCGCGUGAGUGAUGAAGGCCUUAGGGUUGUAAAGCUCUUUUACCCGGGAAGAUAAUGACUGUACCGGGAGAAUAAGCCCCGGCUAACUCCGUGCCAGCCGCCGCCGUAACAC
rnacentral:rRNA from 1 species